GCCGGGCAUGGUGGCACGUGCCUGUAGUCCCAGCUACUAGGGAGGCUGAGGUGGGAGGAUCGCUUGAGCCCAGGAGUUCUGGGCUGUAGUGCGCUAUGCCGAUCGGGUGUCCGCACUAGUUUGGCAUCAGUAUGGUGACCCGGAAGUGGGGGACCACCAGGUUGCCUAAGGAGGGGUGAACUGGCCCAGGUCCGAAACAGAGCAGGUCAAAACUCCCGUGCUGAUUAGUGGGGUUGCGCCUGUGAAUAAGCCACUACACUGCAGCCUGGGCAACAUAGCGAGACCCUGUCUCUA
ensembl:misc_RNA Metazoa_SRP Metazoan signal recognition particle RNA